rnacentral:rRNA from 1 species
GACGAACGCUGGCGGCGCGCUUAACACAUGCAAGUCGAACGGAAAGGCCUGCUUUCCCUUGUGGAUUGCGGGUACUCGAGUGGCGAACGGGUGAGUAACACGUGAGUGAUCUGCCCCCAACUUGGGUAUAAGCCUGGGAAACUGGGUCUAAUUCCCGAUAGGACUGCAGGGUGGUGCCUGUGGUGGAAAACGAUUUUCUAGUGGUUGGGGAUGAGCUCGCGGCCUAUCAGCUUGUUGGUGGGGUAAUGGCCUACCAAGGCGGCGACGGGUAGCCGGCCUGGGAGGGGGGGGGGCCAAGUUGGGACGGGAGACCGGCCAAGACCGCAACGGGAGGCAGGAGUGGGGAAAAUUGACCAAUGGGGGGAAGCCUGAGGGAGCGACGGCGGGUGGGGGAGAGAGGCCUUCGGGUUGGAAAAUCCUUGCGGCGGCGAGGAAGCCACCUGGUGGAAAGGGUGGGAACGGUGGUGGUAGAAGAAGCACCGGCAAAUUAAGU